rnacentral:snoRNA from 1 species
GCAAGGAUGCUCUCUCUACACCGCCAUGUGUUGGAGAGUGGCCUUGUUACUAACUACAUUAAUACUGGUGGCUCCGCAUAGCGGCUUGCUGAGGGUUACUCUUGUACCAUACUCCCGAUGGGUCUUCCUCCGUUCCCGGCCUCCUAAAGUAAUGCUUCUCCAUCUCUUCCCUUUACACUAGUCGCGGACGUCGAACAUUCUAGGUCCGUGAUCGUGGGGUGGUUUCGACAUUU